GGAGGCAGCAGCAAGGAAUUUUCCGCAAUGGGCGCAAGCCUGACGGAGCGACGCCGCGUGCGGGAUGACGCGUUUCGGCGUGUAAACCGCUUUUCUGGGGGAAGAAGGCAGUGACGGUACCCCAGGAAGAAGGACCGGCUAACUACGUG
rnacentral:rRNA from 1 species